rnacentral:rRNA from 1 species
CCGACAGGGAUUGCCUCGGUAACGGCGAGUGAAGCGGCAACAGCUCAAAUUUGAAAUCUGGCACCCUCGGGGCCCGAGUUGUAAUUUGCAGAGGGUGCUUUGGCGUUGGCUGUGGUCUAAGUUCCUUGGAACAGGACGUCGCAGAGGGUGAGAAUCCCGUAUGUGGCCGCCAGCCUCCGCCGUGUAAAGCCCCUUCGACGAGUCGAGUUGUUUGGGAAUGCAGCUCUAAAUGGGAGGUAAAUUCCUUCUAAAGCUAAAUACUGGCCAGAGACCGAUAGCGCACAAGUAGAGUGAUCGAAAGAUGAAAAGCACUUUGGAAAGAGAGUCAAAAAGCACGUGAAAUUGUUGAAAGGGAAGCGCUU